rnacentral:rRNA from 1 species
GUUGAACGCUGGCGGCAUGCCUUACACAUGCAAGUCGAACGGUAACAGGUCUUCGGAUGCCGACGAGUGGCGAACGGGUGAGUAAUGCAUCGGAACGUGCCCAGUAGUGGGGGAUAGCCCGGCGAAAGCCGGAUUAAUACCGCAUACGACCUGAGGGUGAAAGGGGGGGAUCGCAAGACCUCUCGCUAUUGGAGCGGCCGAUGUCAGAUUAGCUAGUUGGUGGGGUAAAGGCCUACCAAGGCAACGAUCUGUAGUUGGUCUGAGAGGACGACCAGCCACACUGGGACUGAGACACGGCCCAGACUCCUACGGGAGGCAGCAGUGGGGAAUUUUGGACAAUGGGCGCAAGCCUGAUCCAGCAAUGCCGCGUGCAGGAAGAAGGCCGUCGGGUUGUAAACUGCUUUUGUCAGGGAAGAAAUCUUCUGGGUUAAUACCUCGGGAGGAUGACGGUACCUGAAGAAUAAGCACCGGCUAACUACGUGCCAGCAGCCGCCGUAAUAC